UAAGCCUCCACCGUGAUGUUCUUCUCAUCUCGCAGAGAGAUGUAAAUGCCCUCGCAGAGGAAGUAAUGCGGCCGAUCGUCCUGUUUGAGGUCGUGAAAAAGCAUCAGCGCGCGAGUGGUCCAGUUAAAAUGCGCAUGAAGUUCUGCAUCCUGGUACGAGUACGACGAUAAACAACACAAUGAGAGCACAUCCCAUCCUAAUCACUGAUCCCAUCUUGAGUCAAACAACCAAUCCAAGUGGACGCGCACCAGAAGCCCUGAAAAGUCUUCUGAUGGGGUCUCCUUGUGCUUUAUCAAUGGAAUUAUGGACUCUCCAGUGAGAGACUCCAGUCUAUGUGAUAACAUCCAUCCAGAUGAGUCCAACUCAACGGAGUGCAGCCCUCAGCACGGC